rnacentral:ncRNA from 1 species
CACCGCCCAUCGCUCCUACCGAUUAAAUGAUCUGGUGAAACGUUCGGAUCGCGACAAUGAGGGCGGUUCACUUCCCGAGACAUCGCGAGAAGUUCAUUGAACCUUAUCAUUUAGAUAAAAGGGAAUUCAUAACAAGGUUUUAGUAGGUGAACCUGUGGAAG